UGAGGAAUAUUGCGCAAUGGGGGAAACCCUGACGGAGCAACGCCGCGUGGAGGAUGAAGGCCCUCGGGUCGUAAACUCCUGUCGAUCGGGAAGAAUGCGUCCGACCUAAUACGUCGGCACGUUGACUGUACCGGUGGAGGAAGCCACGGCUAACUCUGUGCCAGCAGCCGCGGUAAGACAGAGGUGGCAAGCGUUGUUCGGAAUUACUGGGCGUAAAGGGCGCGCAGGCGGUUCGUCAAGUCCCGUGUGAAAUCCCCCGGCUCAACCGGGGAACUGCGCGGGAAACUAGCAGACUUGAGUUCGGGAGAGGAAAGCGGAAUUCCGGGUGUAGCGGUGAAAUGCGCAGAUAUCCGGAGGAACACCGGUGGCGAAGGCGGCUUUCUGGACCGACACUGACGCUGAGGCGCGAAAGCUAGGGGAGCGAACGGGAUUAGAUACCCCGGUAGUCCUAGCCCUAAACGAUGAGCACUGGGUGUAGGGGGUAUGAACCCCCCCUGUGCCGAAGCUAACGCAUUAAGUGCUCCGCCUGGGGAGUACGGUCGCAAGGCUG
rnacentral:rRNA from 1 species